GGGCGGGGGGCAGUCUGGCUGUGACAUCUGCUGAUCGCCAGGAUUGAUUCUUGGCUGAUCCGGCUAGUGGGUGUCCACUUCUUCCAUCACUGCUCCAUAUGCAUCCCUCCUGGAGCUGUGGACUUGGUCUAAGAAGACGACUUUCCCGAAAAAGAGAUGAACCAAACAGGUCUGAGGCCAUCUUGGGCAGAGGGUAUAGCAGCACUAGAACGUCCAAACAAGCUCUCAAAGGAGAAAAUCCACAGGGGCCUGGGGAGACAGCAUGAUGGUUCUGCAAGGGACUUUCCUGCACGAGGCUCUAAAGUCCC
ensembl:misc_RNA 7SK 7SK RNA